UUAAAGUUGUUGCAGUUAAAAAGCUCGUAGUUGGAUUUCGGAAGGUCCUUAGUAGUCCGCCCCUUCGGGGAGCGGGCUGCUGGCCUCCUAUGUUCCUAACGGUCCUCAUCCGCGAGGGUGGGGAAUCAACCGCUAGGAUCGUUUACUUUGAGGAAAUUAGAGUGUUCAAAGCAGGCGUAACUCGCCUCCGAAUACGUUAGCAUGGGAUAAUGGAAUACGACUUCGGUCUUGUUUCGUUGGUUUCGCUUGGCUGAAGUAAUGAUUGAUAGGGACAGUUGGGGGCAUUAGUAUUUAGUUGUCAGAGGUGAAAUUCUAGGAUUUACUAAAGACUGACCAAUGCGAAAGCAUUUGCCAAGGAUGUUUUCAUUAAUCAAGAACGAAAGUAGGGGGAUCGAAAACGAUCAGAUACCGUCGUAGUCUCUACCGUAAACUAUGCCGACCAGGGAUCCGGAGAGUUUGCAUGGAUGACUCCCCGGGCACCUUGUGAGAAAUCAUAAGUGUUUGGGUUUUGGGGGGAGUAUGGUCGCAAGGCUGAAACUUAAAGGAAUUGACGGAAGGGCACCACCAGGAGUGGAACCUGCGGCUUAAUUUGACUCAACACGGGGAAACUUACGAGGUCAGGACACUGUGAGGAUUGACAGAUUGAAAGCUCUUUCUUGAUUCAGUGGGUGGUGGUGCAUGGCCGUUCUUAGUUGGUGGAGUGAUUUGUCUGGUUAAU
rnacentral:rRNA from 1 species